rnacentral:rRNA from 1 species
ACCUUACCAGGUCUUGACAUCUUCGGAUGUCCCUAGAGAUAGGGAGUUCCCUUCGGGGACCGAAUGACAGGUGGUGCAUGGUUGUCGUCAGCUCGUGUCGUGAGAUGUUGGGUUAAGUCCCGCAACGAGCGCAACCCUUGAUCUUAUUUGCCAGCAUUUAGUUGGGCACUCUAAGGUGACUGCCGGUGACAAACCGGAGGAGAGUGGGGAUGACGUCAAAUCAUCAUGCGCCUUAUGACCUGGGCUACACACGUGCUACAAUGGAUGGAACAAAGGGCAGCGAAGCCGCGAGGUGUAGCAAAUCCCAUAAAUCCAUUUCUCAGUUCGGAUUGCAGGCUGCACUUCGCCUGUGUGAACCCGAAUCGCUAGUAUUCGG